GAACAAAUUAGAGGACACUACUCUUCUUCCUCUGCUGAAAGUAUGAAACUGCCAUCCAUCCAUCGUAGACUAAACAGUAGUCUGUAAAUUAAGGACUACGUACCUGAUCAAAUGAGGGUAAGCUGGACAUUCUAGCAUCAUUUUAGUGCUCUGGCUACAAAAAAACUUAUGGGGUCAGUUUGCUUCUUUCAAAAAUCCUUUAUGGAAGUCAUCAAUGGAUUGGGAUCUCCAAGAGAGAAGGAUGUGAAUGGAUUCAUCGAAGGAUCAUAUAUUCCUUUCCGGCCACUGAUCAAGUGGCCAUCAGGACAGGACUUUAUGUGGCAAAAGGAGAGAACAGAAAACGUAAGAGGUGUUAGAAGAGCAUUUCUCUCCUAAGCUGUCAACAGGUAAUACAUGAGCUUAAUUUAUUAUAAGCAGCAUUAUUGAGGGAUUUGUAUAAUCUUAAAAUGUCAUGGCUUCAUAAUUAUGUCAAUCUUAGUGUUGAUCUGCUUACGUUAUCCAAAUUCUCUAAAAUUAAUAUAAGCUUUUUUUUGCUGUUUCUGCUGCUGUUGCUGCUGCUGCCCAUUAUAUAAAGAGAUUAAAGAGAAUGAUGAACAGAAUUAUCAUGUGUAGCAGAUUAUAUUAUUUUAUCAUUCCAGCUACUUAGGUGCUCUUUGAAUUAAUGAAAAUAAAUGUCGGCCCUUUCACAUUGAA